AUGAUGGUGAGCUGCUCCUCCGGAGUGAUGUUUCCACGUUUUACGUCGGGUCUCAGAUAGUUCAGCCACCGGAGACGACAACUUUUUCCGCAAUCAGCCAUUCGAGACUGUACUCAUGCAUUGGUGGAUCGAUGCAUAUAGACAAGCAUGCAUGGCCGUGAAUUUGCGUACAUACGUUCAUUUACGUGGGCACGUCUGCAUGUACGCGUUUAUAUAUAUAUAUAUAUAUAUAACACCUUUUUACACGAAUUAUCUGCUUCGGGUUUUAAAUAUAUAUGUUUGGGUUCAUCGAAUAAUGACAUCACCCAUAUACGGUAAUAUGUAUUUUUAAGAGCAUAUAUGCUUUCUGUACUUUACAAAGCAUAUAGAUACAUGACAAUCAGUAUUAUAUUUUUA